rnacentral:rRNA from 1 species
GGGUAGUGGCCUACCAAGGCAAUGAUGGGUAGCCGGGUUGAGAGACCGACCGGCCAGAUUGGGACUGAGACACGGCCCAGACUCCUACGGGAGGCAGCAGUGGGGAAUCUUGCACAAUGGGCGAAAGCCUGAUGCAGCGACGCCGCGUGCGGGAUGAAGGCCUUCGGGUUGUAAACCGCUUUCAGCAGGGGACGAGGCCGCAAGGUGACGGUACCUGCAGAAGAAGCCCCGGCUAAUUCCGUGCCAGCAGCCGCGGUAAAU